GCCUGUCCCUGCUGAACUUGAGUUCUUCAGGAAUUCCUCUGCAAGCCUAGGAACAGGGCUCCAGGGGGCGGCCCACCAGGACCCCACAUGCAGUGGGAUGAGGGCCCAUGUCGCGCAGCACGUUAGCGGUGAGCUCGGCGCCGUAGGCCUCCAGGUAGAAGCUGACCAGCUUGUCGGUGAGGUCCAAGGCGUCCAUGGACAGCAGUGCGCCCCGCGGGAUGCGCCCGUAGCCCUCGCGCAGCGGCACCGACAGCAGCUUCAGCUUGAACUUCUUGAGCUCCUCGGCGGUCAGGUUCUCCAGCGCAUCCAGGAUGGCGUCGCGCGCACGCCCCAUGGCUCCGGGAUCCCCGGCCGCUGCCGCCGCUCACCCUGCGGCCGCCGACAAGGAGGAAGUCGGCUCCGGGGCGGAACCUGGACUCCCCGCCUUCCUCCCACUCUGGUCUCCCGACUCCCCGCCCCGGUCCGUUGCCCUCCAGCAAAAGGCGCUUCCUGACUACACCCUUGGUCCCCUCCCACCCAGGCCUCUGGAUUGAGGCCCCAGGCCGUCGGGGGACGCCAGGAUCGCGCCCUCCAGCUGGCCUGCGAGGUGGGACCCGGGAGGGGGCCCGCAGAGGGGCUCAUGGGUGGCGCCUGCUUGUCUCUGGGCUUGCACCAGCGGGUAGAGACCAGAAACCUGGGCUGGCUCUCACUGGGUUUAUUGGAGCACCUAGGCUUAGAAUCUCGGAUUUCUAGAAUCCCGAAACCUCCGCGGUUCCUCUAACCUUAGGAUCCUCUCCCACAUGUGGUAGAAAAUUGGAAUCAUGACAGCUAGAAGCGUGAAGCUCCCUCAGUUCCAUAUACUGGGGAAAAAUGAGUUGUACAAAAGGGAAGAGAGUGCAAAUCUCUCUGAGCUUCAGUUUCAUUUUCUGCGACAUGGGGAUAACCCUCAGGUGCUUAUAAAUAUUCCAGCAUAACGUGGCCAACCCGAUGGCUCCCGAAACCUUGCCAGAUGCUUCCUAGGGAAGGCAGAAUUUGAUCCAGAGAGACAGCCUCCAGGAGAUUAAAGACCAUGAACUUGAAGCCAUA
rnacentral:antisense_RNA from 1 species